rnacentral:rRNA from 1 species
UACGUAGGGCGCAAGCGUUGUCCGGAAUUAUUGGGCGUAAAGAGCUCGUAGGCGGUUUGUCGCGUCUGCUGUGAAAACCUAAGGCUCAACCUUGGGCUUGCAGUGGAUACGGGCAGACUAGAGUGCGGUAGGGGUGACUGGAAUUCCUGGUGUAGCGGUGGAAUGCGCAGAUAUCAGGAGGAACACCGAUGGCGAAGGCAGGCCACUGGGCCGCAACUGACGCUGAGGAGCGAAAGCAUGGGGAGCGAACAGG